ACCUAUGUUCAUUGACAUUAGGUUUAUUUCAUGUCCAACCUAUGUUUAAUAACAUUAGGUUCAAGCCACUUGAUCUAUAUCCAACCUAUGUUUCAUACACUAGGUUUAUAUCACUCGAUCUAUGUAUCAUCCUAGUUGUUCGUAUCUAGGAUUAAAGUUUACCUAUUUCAUAUUUAACUUACAUGCCCUUGGCAUUUACAAGUUCAACAUUCAUAUCUUAUAUGUUGGUUCAUAUGCGUUUAGCAUGACUAUGCCUUUAGUUCUCGCGUUCAUAUAUCGACAAUUGUACAUAAUCUACAAAUAGUCAUAUGCCUCUAGCAUGUUCAUCAUUUGAUUACCAUUCUACAUUAUCUAGCAUUAACCAUAAUGCAUUCAUAUGUCAUUUAGCAUGAUUCUCAAUAUAUUCAGAUGCAUGUUCUAUUAGCAUGACUAUGCAUUUAGCUUUCACGUUCAUAUAUCGACAAUUAUACGUAUUUAGCACGAUCUACAAUGUAUUUAUAUGCACCUUCAUAUAUCUUUAUUCUUAUGUCUCUAGCAUUCACUUUCAUAUACAUGUAGCAUUCAUAUUUAUAUGAUAACUACCAUAAAUCAUCUCACAUUAUCAUUAUAUGUCAACAAUCAUAUAUGCAGAUUCAUUCAUAAGCAUCUAGCAUUUAUGUCAUAUAUCGACAAUCAUAUUCAUAUAUGCAUCAAUGAAACCAUACUUUACUUUGACAUGUAAGUGACCUAAUCACUUCGGUAAAGCACAACCCACCUUUAUUUGAUACCGGAAUGAGAGAAAUCCGCUUCUCGCACUUUUCCAAGAAUCGCGACCCGCGCUCCCGACAAUUGUUGCCGAAAAUAUCUUUUUUGGCGAUAUCUUCACGUAGGCUUGACGGAUUGCCGAACCGACUUCGCAAACGCGUUUGUUUUACCCUCAAUUAGGUUUGUACGUGGUCAAUUUCACGUUAGGACUUCAAUCCUGCAAAAGUGCAUUAUCGAGGUCAGUUUCUAUAGAAACCUGUUUCUAUGAAAUUUCAUAAUUAUAUAGGGUAUUUACUAACCCAAAGAACCUGAAACAAUUAGGUUAGAGGACUUACAUCAAUCCCUAAUAAAGGAUUAUUUCAAUUCCUCCUUUUCUUUCAUUUCCUUCUUUCUUGCUUCCUUUCUUUCUUUUCUUUCUUUUCUUUCUUUCUUUUCUUUCUUUCUUUUCUUGCUUUCUUUCUUUCUUUUCUUUCUUUCUUUCCUUGCUUUCUUUCUUUCUUUUCCUUCUUUCUUUCUUUUCCCUGCAGCAGCAGCUUCUACUGCUGAAGUUGACUGCUGCUCCUGCUGACAGCAGCUGCUGCUGACUGCUGCUGCUCCUGCUGAGCUGCUG
rnacentral:lncRNA from 1 species